AUGACUGACGGUCGGAAUGAACCACGUGGACUGGGGGAGUCAGACCCCAGACACGCCUGGUGGGGAAUGUGCUGGAAAGAAAUACUGUUUUCAUUCCCUCAUUCCUGGAGGGAGUGUUCCCGAGGGGAUGGGGAGGAGCGUUUGCGGUCGAAGAAGCAGCCGCGUAAAGGCCUUGAGGUCCGGCAGGGAAGGGUCCCGGCGCACAGAGACCAGCACAGGCGGCAGCAGCCGGUCUGUCCCGCUCGUGGAGCCUCUGGCGGCGGGUGGAGCGGAGCGCGGCUGCCCCCUCCUGGGAGAGAAGGCGACAGUCCGGGAGGAGCCCGCAGCGCCAUCCGCGCAGUCCAUGAGAUUUAUCCAGGGCAGGAUUUCAGACAAAAAUCAGGAAUCGUCACCAGCCAAGACUGUGUUCUGACCAUGUGGCGUCUUCCAGGCACCAGGAAGAAAUACGACCAACCUCCGUAACAAAUGAGAGAAGCUUCACCUGACUGUGUUCUGUGCAUUUGGUUUAUUAGUCUUUUUAAAAACGUGUACUUGUACUGCUGGGUUCAGCUUUUCAGCCAUAGAAUAUUCUAGAAAAAACAGUGAUAACAUUUAUUUCACCGCUCUAACCCUGAAUGUGCAGCUGUGUUUUUUCAAAAAACAUUUUUUACAAUUUUAGAAUACGUAACAUGCAUCCAGAAAUGUGCCCUAAACACAAACAUAUGAUUUGGCAAAUAAUUACAUAGCAAAUCCCACGUUACUGUCAUCUCAUCUAGAAACCAUUGUCCUCCCAGAAGCCCCUCACGUGCUCUGGCCAUCCCAAAUCCCUCCCUGCCCCAGGGAUAAAUAAUAUUCCGUUUUGUUUAUUAACCAACUAUGAAUUUCUUAACACAGUAGAUUUGAUUAUGUUUGAAUAUGAAUGCAAUCCUAUUGGUGGAUUGCUCUAGCUGUGUGUGUGUGUGUGUGUGUGUGUGUGUGUGUGUGUUUUAGAAAAAAUACAUUAAAAAAAGAAAAAGGACAUGGGGCCUCUCGGUUUCCUGGCCACAAUUCCUCACUUGGAAUGCUGUUCCCUCACUGCAGAGAGUGGAGACAGCUGCCAGUGUUUUUUCUGUC
rnacentral:lncRNA from 1 species